CUUGGUGACAAUAGCGUUUUGGACCCACCUGAUCCCAUGCCGAACUCAGUAGUGAAACGAAACAGCUCGAAGGCGAGCCCCGGCCGAUGAUAGUGUAGCAUUUGCUAUGUGAAAGUAGGACAUUACCAGGA
rnacentral:rRNA from 2 species